UGCAGGCGGCGUAGAACAUGGGCGAGUACAUCUCGAUCUUUCCGGGCUCGUUGGGUGCCUGGGCGACGAUCGGGGUAGGCGAGGUGCUACCCACCUCCGCCGCCGGCGAGACGAGGCUCCUCCCUAGGAUCCGGUCCACGGCCAGGGUUCUGGCGGCCGGGGAAGGCGAGUAGAGGAAGCUCGGAAGGAAGGAUUGGCGAGAUCUCUCGGCCAGAUCCAUCGCCGUUAGAGUCUGGGUUCGGCUUGGAUCGAACAGGAGACG
rnacentral:lncRNA from 1 species